UUUGACUCAAGUAAGUAAAAACAACCAAAACUUUUACUCAUAUCAAUUGUCAUUACAUUGAUCUUAAAAAGACCCUCCGUAAGGUAACCUUAAACUACAUACACUUCACCCUUAUUUAUUAUAACAUUUUCAUAAGUAAAUACAUAUUUGAAUCCAUUAUUUGUCAGAAGUAAAGUAGAAACUAAGUUUUUUUGCAACUAUGGAACAAUGAAGGACAUUGCUUAGUGUCACCACCUUAACCGAUGACAUUUUCGAGAAAAUAUUGCUUGUUCCUUCAACCUUUUCCAUAGCAAAGUUUGCCAUGAGUAUCUUCUCAUCAUCUUGAGCUAGAGCAUAUAAUUCAAAUAGUUCUUUGUUGGCAUACACAUGGUGGGUGUCAACCAAAUCCACUUAUUAUCCUCUAGGAUUACCAACUAAAUGAUAUUAUAAGAGCAUGAAAUAAAGAUUGUCCAUUUGUUCUUUUGAUUCAACCAUGUUUGCUUGAUCCUUUUUCUUCUCCUUUUUUAUAGCCCAAUAAUCAGUAGACUUGUGGCCAAAUUUUUCAUAAUUUAAGUAAUUUUCUUUGAUUUUCUUCUUAGGAGGAUAGUCUUU
rnacentral:lncRNA from 1 species